UUUUGAUACAGAACUCUUGCUUUGGUUUGGCCUAGAGAUAGGUUGGGCCAGAGGUUUAACAAAACACAAUUUAAUUAUUUUUAUUGACAGUCAAAUUUUGAAUUAAUCUUCAAAACUUUCAACAACGGAUCUCUUGGUUCUCGCAUCGAUGAAGAACGCAGCGAAAUGCGAUAAGUAAUAUGAAUUGCAGAUUUUCGUGAAUCAUCGAAUCUUUGAACGCACAUUGCGCCCUCUGGUAUUCCAGAGGGCAUGCCUGUUUGAGCGUCAUUUCUCUCUCAAACCCCCGGGUUUGGUAUUGAGUGAUACUCUUAGUCGAACUAGGCGUUUGCUUGAAAAGUAUUGGCAUGGGUAGUACUGGAUAGUGCUGUCGACCUCUCAAUGUAUUAGGUUUAUCCAACUCGUUGAAUGGUGUGGCGGGAUAUUUCUGGUAUUGUUGGCCCGGCCUUACAACAACCAAACAAGUUUGACCUCAAAUCAGGUAGGAAUACCCGCUGAACUUAAGCAUAUCAAUAAGCGGAGGAA
rnacentral:rRNA from 1 species